CAAGACCAAAGAGGGGGACCUUCGGGCCUCUUGCCAUCAGAUGUGCCCAGAUGGGAUUAGCUAGUAGGUGGGGUAAUGGCUCACCUAGGCGACGAUCCCUAGCUGGUCUGAGGGGAUGACCAGCCACACUGGAACUGAGACACGGUCCAGACUCCUACGGGAGGCAGCAGUGGGGAAUAUUGCACAAUGGGCGCAAGCCUGAUGCAGCCAUGCCGCGUGUGUGAAGAAGGCCUUCGGGUUGUAAAGCACUUUCA
rnacentral:rRNA from 1 species